GCUAUAAUUAGAUCCCAACCAAUCAUUCUCCACCUAUUAGGUCCCCCACUAAGAAAGGAUGAUAAAGGCAAAGGAGUCUUUGUAGAGAAUCCAAGAGAAAGCAGUCAGGAACCCGAUGUUUCAAGUGCAACGGGUUAGGUCAUAUUGCUAGUCAGUGCCCAUCUCGAGCGCUACAUAUUGGGGAGCCCAAAAAAGAAAAUCCC
rnacentral:lncRNA from 1 species